AUAGCUACUCGGCCUUUUGGCUAAGAUCAAGUGUAGUAUCUUCAGAAAUUGUGGAUGCUCCAUCACUGGAGGUUUUUAAGAAGAGAUUGGGCAACUAGUUGCCUGCUUAACCAGGGGUUUGGACUAGAAGAUCUCCCAAGGUCCCUCCCAACUCU
rnacentral:snRNA from 1 species